rnacentral:rRNA from 1 species
GUGGGGAAUAUUGGACAAUGGGGGGAACCCUGAUCCAGCCAUGCCGCGUGUGUGAAGAAGGCCUUUUGGUUGUAAAGCACUUUAAGCGAGGAGGAGGCUACCGAGAUUAAUACUCUUGGAUAGUGGACGUUACUCGCAGAAUAAGCACCGGCUAACUCUGUGCCAGCAGCCGCGGUAAUACAGAGGGUGCAAGCGUUAAUCGGAUUUACUGGGCGUAAAGCGCGCGUAGGUGGCCAAUUAAGUCAAAUGUGAAAUCCCCGAGCUUAACUUGGGAAUUGCAUUCGAUACUGGUUGGCUAGAGUAUGGGAGAGGAUGGUAGAAUUCCAUGUGUAGCGGUGAAAUGCGUAGAGAUCUGGAGGAAUACCGAUGGCGAAGGCAGCCAUCUGGCCUAAUACUGACACUGAGGUGCGAAAGCAUGGGGAGCAAACAGGAUUAGAUACCCCUGUAGUCC